CAGGGUGCAGGGGGAGGCCGUGAGUCACGCUGGGGCCGAUGACUCAGAUUUCCAGUCAGGGCCCGAGGUGUGCCGCGGGUGGCUGCAGGCUGUGCCCGAGCCCUGUGCCCGGAAGCUCAGCAGAGGGGAGGACUCUCUCUGUCGGGGGUGAUGAUUUGAACAAAUACUGAAAACUGAAAAUAGACCUCAGCUCCCAAGGAGUAGAGUGGCAAACAAAGGCAUUGUUAUUUUGCCAUGAACUUCAUGUAAGAGCAGGAAAAAAACUCUCUGUCACUCUGCUGUGGCUUUCCACUGACGAAAUGGAGGGUAAUUGCACUGCCUUGUCACCGAGAGGCUUGAGCAAAUAUAUCUGGUUGGUGAUGAUGAAGGACAACAAAAAUGAAGCCAUAUACUGUAUGCAGCACUGCCUGGCACUGCAGGCAUUAGCAGCGCUUUGGAGCCAUUAGGAGGAAUGCUGCAGUAUCCUCUCACCGUGCCAUGUUACAGCCAUGAAAUGCAGAAAGACUGCAGUACUUGGAACUAAAAUCAUGAAUGCAGUAGUGUUAUUCAAGAACCUGAUGAAAUUGUAGCUGCCUUUGCCUCUUCUUCCCUGAAGCCUCAUCUAGCCAUAGCUGAGAUAGCGAAGAAUGCUUUCUUCACUGGGAAGAUACAGAGGGAAGGCGGUCUGCUGCUGAAGCCUGAUCGUUUGGCUGUAGUUGGUGGUGGCUUCACAGAAGAUACACCAGCAAGACUAGCACAUAUAGCACUCUAAAAAAAGUCAGCUGCUCAGGAAGCUAUCAAAUGGAUCCCAAGAAUGUGGACAUUCUGACCCAGCUCAUUCAGAUUCACUUAUCUCACAAUAAAAAGCCUAGCUGGAAUACGCCAGCUGUACAGAAGAAGAUAAAUAGUUCAGAUGUCUAUUUGGAACCACUAUGGGCCUUGGCAAAACUAGAAAGUACUACAACCCUGCCUCCCAAAUCAAGAGUCAAGUGCUCCUUUGAAAGAGCUCAUGCAGAAAGCCAGCCAGCAGUAGAAGAGGCUAAGAAUAUUGAAAAGAAAAAAGAUGUAACUAGACAGGUCAGGGUGCAGCCAUUCGGCAGUGCUGGUCAUCUCAGGACACUGCAGUCCUACCAGACAACCCAAACCAAAGCAAAGACCAACAAGGAACCAACAGAGGACAACAUGCUCCCCAGUUUGUAGGGUGAUCUACCUUCAUACGGUAAGGACUUGUAGUGUGGACAGCACUGGAGUAACCUUUAAAAUCAUCAUAGACAUUUGUGAGUUGUUUUAGGGAAAAGACCUCCAGUGAGAAGAAAGAGAAGGGUGUUUGGCAGGCACUGCAAAUCCCACUGUGGCCCUGACAGAACAAUUAAAACAAGAUGUUUAGGAACAAGUCAAACCCUAACUUACCCAUUCCCAUUGCCAACUCCUGUGUGGAGCUGUUCAGAUAAGUCUUGCUCCUGAUGGCUAAAGAUAGAAAUGUCUUCCACUCUGAUCUUGUUUGUCUUCUUAAAGAGUAUUAGAGCAGGCCUCAAAAUAGUUUUGGAGUUUGUUUAGUUCUCGUUCUUUGACUUGGUUUAGUGCUGGAAGUCCCAGACACGCUGGCCCUGGAGACAGCAGAGGUCUAACUGGGGCAGCCGAGCAGGCUGGUGCCCAAAUUCAACCUACCACUGGAAACCCCUUACAAACCACGGUCGGGAGCAAGCAGAGACUGAAACCUUACAGUCUUGCUACCAAGACAGAAAACUAAUGAUGACCUGUUUUAAUGGUGCAUAUUGCCUCUACCUCCGAUAGGAGCCAUUUUGUGUCAACCAGCAGGGGUGAAGCUGAAUCAGUCCCGUGCAGAUGCAGGCUCCUUAUCUCCCCCAGCCGUGCAGAUGCUGGCUGCAUCAGGAGCUCGUGUCGUUGCCAGGGCUUGGUGGCCGGGUACCAGAAAGCUGGCUGCUGCUCCAGUAAGGGCUCCGGGUGCCCACUGGCACAGAACUGUGCUCUUCUUGCCAACUUCAUAGCUAGUUCCUGGGUAAUGCUUCUUCCCUGUGUGAAAACAGGGUGGAUUUCCUGCAGGAAAUUAUUUUCAUAUUAUCUUCAGUGAGAUUAGGGUAAUUUUCCCCUCACCAGCCAAAAAGAGAAAGUCUGACAAUAUGGUUUGACUACUGCUGCCUUAACAAGUCGCCGUUGCUUCCAUCAGAACUAUGCUGAUAGCUGGCAAGUUGCACCGCCAGGUGGGUGUGCUCAGCCAGGGCAACUCUAUACUGUCCACCGGUGGUAUUUGCCCCGGUUAUCAAACACCAGGCACACAGCGCACUGUCUGUCACGCAUCCCCCUUUUCUGUCUCCACCUUCCUGCCAGCCAGUCCACCCUAGAAACCAUCUAGUGCCCUGCUCCGCCACUAGUUCAACAUGAAGUGAAAGCUUUCUCACUGACUGAGCAUGCUGGCCUUCUCCUGCCAAGAUUGGGGAAAAACUUAAAAAAAAAUUAAAAAAAAACAAAAACUUUUUUUUUUUGGUUAAACCAAGUUGGGGCUGAAGUGGUUUAUUGAUUGAAGAAAUGUGUGAUUAACCAACAACCAGUGAACUAUACAUUCAGGACCAAUGUCAUCAACACCACAGUGUUAGACACUAAUACAUUCCUUCCUACAAGCUCCUCAACAUGCUUCUAUAACUAAUCUCCAAAAGUUUUCAUCCCAGACACACAGACACCCACCCCUCUCUUUGCAGCAAAAGGGGUCACUUCUGGGAAUGUGGGUUCCCCUGCUUACAACCUGUUCCUGCUGGGGUUGUGGCCAGUCCUGCUUUAGGGGUGCCCAUGCUGCUCCCUACAACCACCUCAGUGGACCCACUGGUGGGAAAGGCAGCCCAGCAGGACACCAGCAGUCCCACAGACAGGAGGCUGCUGCACUGGGUCUGGGCAGAGGUGUGAUGCCAGCAGGGUGACCUGCUGUCAGUGCUAGAUUGGGUUUUCACUGCUGCUCACUGGGUCUCUCCCCACUCCCUUACAAAUUUUGGUGCUUCUUGUGUACAUCUUUUCAGACUGACGCCUUCUUUGUUUCAAAAUUCUCUCUGUCAUUCCCUGGUUACCACUUACUCCAGCUGAUGGUGGUUGUCCUCUUUAGCAUGAUCAGUUGAGGUCUGAUGGUUGUUUCCCCCUGCAGCAAGAUCAGUUUGGGGUACAUGCUUCCUCAGACAGUUUUGGGUUUCCCAUUCACGCAUGGUGUUUACACUGACUUUUCAAUCUUAGCAGCUGUUGUCCGUGUCAUUUUGCCAAGGGUGAGCUGUGCAGGCACCCCUACUAGUGAUGUUACACAACCAUCAAGCUUGUAUUAGAGAAAAGAACACGGCUGGAUUUUGGAGGUCAGUUCCAUAUAUAUUUAUUUAUAUAUAUAUACUUAUAUAUUUAUAUUCUGUAUACAUUUAUUU